UGAUGCAGCGACGCCGCGUGAGGGAUGACGGCCUUCGGGUUGUAAACCUCUUUCAGCAGGGAAGAAGCGAAAGUGACGGUACCUGCAGAAGAAGCGYCGGCUAACUACGUGCCAGCAGCCGCGGUAAUACGUAGGGCGCAAGCGUUGUCCGGAAUUAUUGGGCGUAAAGAGCUCGUAGGCGGCUUGUCACGUCGGAUGUGAAAGCCCGAGGCUUAACCUCGGGUCUGCAUUCGAUACGGGCUAGCUAGAGUGUGGUAGGGGAGAUCGGAAUUCCUGGUGUAGCGGUGAAAUGCGCAGAUAUCAGGAGGAACACCGGUGGCGAAGGCGGAUCUCUGGGCCAUUACUGACGCUGAGGAGCGAAAGCGUGGGGAGCGAACAGGAUUAGAUACCCUGGUAGUCCACGCCGUAAACGUUGGGAACUAGGUGUUGGCGACAUUCCACGUCGUCGGUGCCGCAGYUAACGCAUUAAGUUCCCCGCCUGGGGAGUACGGCCGCAAGGCUUAAACUCAAAGGAAUUGACGGGGGCCCGCACAAGCAGCGGAGCAUGUGGCUUAAUUCGACGCAACGCGAAGAACCUUACCAUGGYUUGACAUAUACCGGA
rnacentral:rRNA from 1 species